ACUGUGAAUAGGCUGCUUCUCAAUAUUAAGCAAAAAGACAUUGGUUCCUUAAUUACAAGCUCCCCUGAGGAUCGACACACUGUUAUUGGCGUGGAUGAAAUGCGAAGAAGAUGAUGUUUGGUCUGAAGACCUUCCUACAUGGCGGUUCUUUCAGUGGGAUGGCUUCUGUUUCUAUUGGUUUCAUCCAGGGCUAUGACGCAACCAAUCAGUGCUUUACAUGCUUAGAAGGCAACCAAAAGAAGGCUUUUGCACUGGGUAUGAGAGGUUGCAGUGUUGCAGUUAAUGUUCAAAUUGGACAUAGGUGCUAAGUUCAUGGAAUUCCAGUAAGUUCUUCAUCUCUAAUCCUAUUACUCCAUUUUGUCAUGGUUCUGGUUGUUUCAGGUAUUUCGUUUCAUGCAUAUUUAUAAGGAG